CAGCCUGCCCACCACUUGGGGAUAACCUUGCGAAAGUAAGACUAAUACCCAAUGAUAUCUCUAGAAGACAUCUGAAAGAGAUUAAAGAUUUAUCGGUGAUGGAUGGGGAUGCGUCUGAUUAGCUUGUUGGCGGGGUAACGGCCCACCAAGGCAACGAUCAGUAGGGGUUCUGAGAGGAAGGUCCCCCACAUUGGAACUGAGACACGGUCCAAACUCCUACGGGAGGCAGCAGUGAGGAAUAUUGGUCAAUGGACGAGAGUUUGAACCAGCCAAGUAGCGUGCAGGAUGACGGCCCUAUGGGUUGUAAACUGCUUUUAUAAGGGAAUAAAGUGAGUCUCGUGAGACUUUUUGCAUGUACCUUAUGAAUAAGGACCGGCUAAUUCCGUGCCAGCAGCCGCGGUAAUACGGAAGGUCCGGGUGUUGUCCGGAUUUAUUGGGUUUAAAGGGAGCGUAGGCCGGAGAUUAAGCGUGUUGUGAAAUGUAGACGCUCAACGUCUGCACUGCAGCGCGAACUGGUUUCCUUGAGUACGCACAAAGUGGGCGGAAUUCGUGGUGUAGCGGUGAAAUGCUUAGAUAUCACGAAGAACUCCGAUUG
rnacentral:rRNA from 1 species